rnacentral:tRNA from 1 species
AUGAUCACCACCAUGUUCCUCCAAUCCUCUGAGGACCCAGGGACCCACGGUACUGAGAAAAGCUUUGAUGGAGCCGGCUGGUGGAUCUCCACUCCAGAUUUUCCAGCUGUCCCUGUCCCCCCCCACCGCUCAGAGAGCAGGAUGCUGAGAUGGCUCGGUGAUGCAGAAGGUAUGUGCUUUUUCAGUUCUGGUGCUGAUGCUGUGUGUGUGGUGAGGUCUCUGUGGCGCAAUGGACGAGCGCGCUGGACUUCUAAUCCAGAGGUUCCGGGUUCGAGUCCCGGCAGAGAUGGUCACCUGGCAGGCACUGUAGUUCCUGACUGUAUGUUGAAAGAAGGAGGAUGAGAACAGGUGACAUUUUUGGCUACCAAAACAUCAAUCUGCAUGCAGAGAAGGGACUGAUCUCAUUAUUCCCCCAUGGAGAACAAAGAAGGAAAUCACAGAUGUUGUGAAGAAGAGAGAAUUUCAGGACCCCAAUGUGUAUGUGCUUAGCAAGAGACUUUGCUAAACCAUGGGAGAGAGCUGUUCAGUGACCAGCUCACAGGACAGAGGCCAAGGCAGGGGUGGUGGUGAUGGUGGGGUCUCCCUUCAGCUUCUUCCCUGAUCCCUGAGCAUGGCUGAGACGAAGGCCAUGGCCCUGCUUCCACAGAAAACCUACUUCAGGAGUCAUCUUACAACACCUUAUUCAAUGGGAGCUCUGAGAGCCAGAAUCUGAAAUGCCACCAGAUUGAGGGGGCACCAUUUAUGCACGAAAGGCCCAAAUUCUAUGUUCCUUCAUAGAAACAAAUCCUUAACCCACUGAGCAAGGCCAGGAAUCGAACCUUUGUCCUCAUGGAUGCUAGUCAGAUUCGUUAACUGCUGAGCCACAACGGGAACUCCAGUACGCUUUUUUUUUUUUUUUUCAACAAAUUAUGGUACAUGCAGUCAUACCUUCAUGCUCUGCCUUGGUAUACCAGGGCCUAUGGACCUCAAAGUGUCUUUUUAAAAAGAACUGUGAUGAUUUUUCCAAUGAAGCUUUUCUCAACUUUCCAGCAAAUUAUCGAUGAAGACAAGGAUAAAUGUGAAGGUUUGCAAAGAAAAAUUUUACACCACCCGUCAACCUAUGGCCAGAGUGUGAGAAGCUGAUGGUGAUGAAGUGUAAGCCGUAGGCUUAAUGUCUUUUGCUACCCAAAAUCUGUCCUUAAAACCUAAAAUUAAAAUGUUCGAAAGACAUUUUGUCCUUCCCCCAAUUGUUGUCCCUCCAGGUUAGAAAAAUUGGGUUGAUUCCAAGCAGAAAACUGAGAUUAGGAGUUUUGGCUCAGUGAGUUAAAGAACCCAACAUGGUGUCUGUGAGGAUGUGGGUUCAAUCCCUGGCCUUGCUUGGUGGUUUAAGGAUCAGGUGUUGCUGUGGCUGUGGUGCAGGCCUGCAGCUGCAGCUCUGAUUCAACCCCUAGCCCAGGAACUUCCACAUGCUGCAGUGUGGACAUUUGAAAGAAAGAAAAAAAGAAAGUUAAUUUCAGCUGUACAGCAGAGUGAAUCAGCCAUGCAUAUAUACAUAUCUACUCUUUUGCAGAUUCUUUUCCCAUCUAGGUUAUUACAGAAUAUUGAGUAGAGUUCCCUGUGCUAUACAGCAGGUCCUUGUUAGUUAUCUGUUCUAUAUAUAGCAGUGUGUGUAUGUAAAUUACUAAGUUAUCCUUUCUCCCCACAUUUCCCCCUUGGCAACCAUUCGUUUGAUUGAGAUCUGUGAGUCUGUUUCUGUUCUGUAAAUAAAUUCAUUUGUAUCAUUUUAAAAUUAGAUUCUAGGAGUUCCCUUCAUGGCUUAGCAGAAACAAAUCUGACUAGUAUCCAUGAGGAUGCAGGUUCAAUCCCUGGUCUCACUCAGUGGGUUAAGGAUUCGAUAUUGCUGUGAGCUGUGUGUAGGUGGCAGUUCUGAUUUGACCCUUAGCCUGGGAACCUCCAUAUGCCACAGUUGCAGCCCUAAAAGACAAAAAAAAAAAAAAAAAAAAAAAAAGAAAUGAGAUUCUACAUAUAAGUGAUAUCAUAUGUAAUUUGUAUUUCUCUAUCUGACUUACUUCAUUUAGUAUGAUGAUCUCUAGGUCUUCUAUAUUACUGCAAAAUGGUAUUACAUCAUUCCUUUUUAUGGUUGAGUAAUAUUCCAGUGUACAUAUGUACCACAUCUUCUUUAUCCAUUCCUCUGUCCAUGGAUAUUUAGGUUGCUUCCGUGUCUUUGCUCAUGUAAACAGUGCUGCAGUGAACAUUGGGGUGCAUUUUUCAUUGAUGUGAUCACUACCUGACACAUAUUUUUAUGUUUCUCCCAAUAGAAUAUAAGCCCCAUUUGGACAUGGGGUUUGCUUGUCUUUCUUGAAUUGCAUCUCCUUUGUUUUGGAC